UACGGAGGGUGCGAGCGUUGUCCGGAAUCACUGGGCGUAAAGGGCGCGUAGGCGGCGCGGGUAGUCAUCGGUGAAAGUUCAGGGCUCAACUCUGAAUCGGCCGGUGAUACUCCCGUGCUCGAGCACUGUAGAGGCAGGUGGAAUUCCGGGUGUAGCGGUGGAAUGCGUAGAGAUCCGGAGGAACACCAGCGGCGAAGGCGGCAUCCUGGACUGGUCCUGACACUCAUGAGCGAAAGCGUGGGGAGCGAUCCGG
rnacentral:rRNA from 1 species